GAUGAACGCUAGCGACAGGCUUAACACAUGCAAGUCGAGGGGCAGCGAGGGCGUAGCAAUACGCCUGUCGGCGACCGGCGCACUGGUGAGUAACACGUAUGCGACCUGCCCCCUACAGGGGUAUAACCCGUAGAAAUGCGGACUAAUCCCCCAUAGUCCCGCGGGCUGCAUGGCCUGCGGGGGAAAGGGUUUCCGGUAGGGGAUGGGCAUGCGGCGCAUUAGCUAGUUGGCGGGGCAACGGCCCACCAAGGCGACGAUGCGUAGGGGUUCUGAGAGGAAGGUCCCCCACAUUGGAACUGAGACACGGUCCAAACUCCUACGGGAGGCAGCAGUGAGGAAUAUUGGUCAAUGGGCGAGAGCCUGAACCAGCCAAGUAGCGUGCAGGACGACGGCCCUAUGGGUUGUAAACUGCUUUUAUGCGGGGAUAAAGUGUGGGACGUGUCCCAUUUUGUAGGUACCGCAUGAAUAAGGACCGGCUAAUUCCGUG
rnacentral:rRNA from 1 species